GCUCUCCCCGGCCGCAGGUACACGCUGCCCGCGCUCGCUCCCGCCCGUGGCUAUGGUUUUGUGUUGGUGCUGUCAGCGUUCGUCGAGCUAUAAACAUGGCAUGUGGGGCUGCAAGGUGUUGCUUGUCUUCUGGAGACUGACAUCAUGGGCCAUGGUGAUGGCUGGUGGCCUUGAGGGGUGAUCAGUGCCUGAACAUCAUCCUGGCUUCCUAAAAACACAUGCUGGGAAUGCUGCUAAACUGCACGGUGAGGAUUGUCUCUCUGCACAUGUGCUCUGCACAGGCAAAGAUCCACUGAGCCACAGGAGGUCACAUCAUGCACCAGCAGUCAGCUGUGAUUUUGAGUGAGAACAGAAGGAUGGCUGUGACCCCUGGGAGCUGUGAGUGAGAUGGGACACUGCCAUGGGGGUGGUGACAGGAUUGUCACUCUGGGGCCGUGGCACCUGACCCUGACAAUUUCCCCAGACCCUUGCAGACAAGCUUUACAAGCAGAAAUGGCUCCUUGCAACUCUUGUCGUUGUGGCAAGGAGAGGAGGAUUAGUGGUGAGAGUGGCUGAAAAGUACCUGAAGAAAAAUGGAAAACUUCCCAGGAAAGGCACUGGUGUGAUUCCUGCUUAUCUGGAAACUGAAUUUGUCCUGGUAGGUCCAAGGGAAGAACAAUGCUCUUGGUGCUGCUCCUGCUGCACCUGAGGUCUCACCUCAGCCCACCCAAAGAUAUCUUGUCUCCCUACAGACAACAGGCUCUUCUGGGUGGGUGACCUGUCAGAGCUACUCAUUCUGCAAACCAUCAGAGCUGGGUGGAGACCUUACCUUUGUGUCUCUACUUUACUGUGUGAUUAAAGGUGACAGCAACUCUCCUUCCCUCUGCUUACUGAAUUAGUAGACCUCAGGGCUGGGGGGAGCUGGGACCAGGAGCAGCAGGAAGGCCAGAUGGAGCAGAGGAACAAGGGCAGAGGCCAUAGAUACCAAACUUGGAGGUGCUGGGGCUGGCAGCAGCACUUCAGAGAGGAGAGAUGCAAUAAAAGGAGGAAACACCCACCACGUUUUAGGCUUUGGUCUGACCCACGCAGUGCCUGGAGACAAAUAAGCUAACAAAACACAACACACCCUUCUCCUUCCAGGUUUGCCCUGGGUUGAGCUGGUAUCUUUGUUCCUAUAUGAGGAAUGUUUUUUGUUCGGCUCUGGUUGUUUUGCUGGAUCUGUAGUGCAUUAAACAGCCCAUCUUCUGGUUUGUAUUUUUUCCAGUUAUCGUGUUUCAUGUAUUCUGGCUCCUUCCAGCCAGCUCUGUAUCCCCCCGAGCAGAAACUAAGCAGUAUCCAGUCCUUGAGCUUGCUGCCUUCAUAUGCACAAAAGGGAUAUGGACUCACAUCCCACAUUUCUUUGCUGAGCUGUGGGAAUAUCUGCAGCAGGGACUCACACCUUGCUCUGCUUUCAGCCUAUCACCUAGAUCAGGUUACCACAGCUGAACAUUGCGGGCUCAGGGAUGGUAUAUGCUGCCAUGCCACUUCACAUCACCUCUCUACAAGCUGGCUUCUGAAGUCAGUCUGGACCAUCCAAGGUUUGUGCUUAUUUUUCAUACCAUUCAGAUUUUGAUGAUGGCACAAUAGAGCAGCACGUGUAAGAGUGGGGGAUGGCUUGUUGGUACCCCAACAGUCACUAGGCUUUGCAGGGUCCUUGUGCCCAAUCCUGAACACUUUCCCCUUCAGUUUUCCUGUUGAUCUUUCCCUGCCCACUUUGAGGAGCAAGUGGUGUGUGUGGGUGGGCUGGGAGUCUCCCUGCUGGCAGUGAUUAUCCAGCAGCACCUCGGGGGGAGGCAGGGGAGCCAGUGGCUGAUCCUGCUGGGCUGGAUGCACGCCUGCACCGUCCCAGCGCCCGGCGAUGCACACGCACAGCUCAUGGCACAGGCUUCUGUCACCAAAACCUGUCUGCAGGAAAGCCUGUCUGCACAACCCGGCCAGAAAGAAAGGCAUGACAGCACAAUUAGUGAGAGCAAAUGAAAGGCUGUUUGAAGAGGAGAGGGGAGGAAAGGGGAGAGCUGCAUAAAUCCCUGGUGGGGUCUUGGGCUUGACAUCAAAACCCCUUAACAGUGUAUUACUUCAGCCCCCAAUGUGGACAGAUGUUGAGCUGUGGCUCAAAGGAAGUCAGAAAUCUUUCCUUAGAAAAAAUUUGGCUAGGAAACUAAAGAAAAUAUUGUGAAAGAAAAGGAAAUAAAAGCCCACUAAAGAAG